AGACCCUACACAGAAAAAAAAUAGUUCUCCAGCCAAGUAAAUCCUCUUGUGUCAAGAUAUUUUGUGUUUCCUAUAUAAGGAAACAAUAAAAUUCUUGCGUCAAGAUAUAAAAGGUUUCAAAUUUUAUUAUUUAAGGUAAAAAAAUCAAUACUUUAUCCGAGCUAUAAAAAGUUUUUUUUUUAAAAAGCUCAAUAUUCCCACCAAGAGCGUUUGCGUUUUGUUUUAUGUAUUGUAUUUUUUGAAAUUGAACCUAAUGUCUCAGGGCAAUACUUAAAGAACUUGUGCCAAGAAACUUUGUUUCUUGGGGUUAGAUACUCAUAAUUGAAUUGAGAAUUAUAUUUCUCCAUGAAAACAAGAAAAAGCAUUGGUUCAAGAGUACGUUACUCAAUGUAAAAUAUGAUAUUAUUUAUAUCUAGAGUAGAAAUUUCUUAGCGCAAAGUUUAGUAUGUUUUGAAUAAAGAAUUAAUUUUCUUAAACCA